UACGUAGGGUGCGAGCGUUGUCCGGAAUUACUGGGCGUAAAGAGCUCGUAGGCGGUUUGUCGCGUCUGCCGUGAAAGUCCGGGGCUCAACUCCGGAUCUGCGGUGGGUACGGGCAGACUAGAGUGAUGUAGGGGAGACUGGAAUUCCUGGUGUAGCGGUGAAAUGCGCAGAUAUCAGGAGGAACACCGGUGGCGAAGGCGGCUUGCUGGGCCUUACCUGACGCUGAGGAGCGAAAGCGUGGGGAGCGAACAGG
rnacentral:rRNA from 1 species